rnacentral:rRNA from 1 species
UACGAAGGGGGCUAGCGUUGCUCGGAAUCACUGGGCGUAAAGGGCGCGUAGGCGGAUCUUUAAGUCGGGGGUGAAAGCCUGAGGCUCAACCUCAGAAUUGCCUUCGAUACUGGAGAUCUUGAGACCGGAAGAGGUAAGUGGAACUGCGAGUGUAGAGGUGAAAUUCGUAGAUAUUCGCAAGAACACCAGUGGCGAAGGCGGCUCUCUGGGACGGUACUGACGCUGAGACGCGAAAGCGUGGGGAGCGAACAGG